rnacentral:rRNA from 1 species
GUGUGUGAAGAAGGCCUUUUGGUUGUAAAGCACUUUAAGCGAGGAGGAGGCUACUCUAGUUAAUACCUAGGGAUAGUGGACGUUACUCGCAGAAUAAGCACCGGCUAACUCUGUGCCAGCAGCCGCGGUAAUACAGAGGGUGCAAGCGUUAAUCGGAUUUACUGGGCGUAAAGCGCGCGUAGGUGGCCAAUUAAGUCAAAUGUGAAAUCCCCGAGCUUAACUUGGGAAUUGCAUUCGAUACUGGUUGGCUAGAGUAUGGGAGAGGAUGGUAGAAUUCCAGGUGUAGCGGUGAAAUGCGUAGAGAUCUGGAGGAAUACCGAUGGCGAAGGCAGCCAUCUGGCCUAAUACUGACACUGAGGUGCGAAAGCAUGGGGAGCAAACAGGAUUAGAUACCCUGGUAGUCCAUGCCGUAAACGAUGUCUACUAGCCGUUGGGGCCUUUGAGGCUUUAGUGGCGCAGCUAACGCGAUAAGUAGACCGCCUGGGGAGUACGGUCGCAAGACUAAAACUCAAAUGAAUUGACGGGGGCCCGCACAAGCGGUGGAGCAUGUGGUUUAAUUCGAUGC